GAUGAACGCUGGCGGCGUGCUUAACACAUGCAAGUCGAACGAUGAAGCCCAGCUUUCUGGGCGUAUUAGUGUCGAACGGGUGAGUAACACGUGAGUAACAUGCGCUUUACUCUGUGGUAAGCCCUGAAGACAGUGGCGAUAACAGCGGAUGAGCGCCUCUCGCGUAAGGGGGGGUGUGGAGAUUUUUGGGGCAUGGAGGUACUCUCGCCCUAUCUCCUUGUUGGGGGGGUAACGGCGCACCAAGGCGACGAGGGGGAGCCGGCCUGGGAGGGGGAACGGCCACAAUGGGAAUGAGACACCGCCCCGACCCCUAAGGGAGGGAGCAGUGGGGAAUAUUGCAACAUGGGCGGAAGCCUGAUGCAGGGACGCCGCGUGGGGGAAGACGGCCUUCGGGUUGUAAACCUCCUUCAGCCGGGAACAAGCGAAAGUGACGGUAAAUGCAGAAGAAGCCACCGCCAACUAAGUG
rnacentral:rRNA from 1 species